GGAUAUGAGAGCGAUCUGGCUGAGACGUCUGUUAUCCUAUUGAUUGCCAGGGUUGAUUCAGCGACCUGGCUAGCUAGGUGUGUGUGCUCUUCUUCCCUCACCGCUUUAUGUACGUCCCUCAAUAAGUGCGCACUCCGUGGAAGAGGACGUCCAUCCCCCAGAGAAGAGGACCAGUCUUCGAUCAAAGGUAUAGGAGUAGUUGCGCUCCUCUGCUAGACUCUCCAAACAUGCUUUUUUUUCUUCUUCUUCUUUUUUUGAGAUGGAGUCUCAUUCUGUUGCUAGGCUGCAGUGCAAUGGCAUGAUCUCAACUCACUGCAACCUCUGCCUCCCGGGU
rnacentral:snRNA from 1 species